rnacentral:rRNA from 1 species
UACGUAGGGGGCUAGCGUUGUCCGGAAUCAUUGGGCGUAAAGCGCGCGUAGGCGGCCAAGUAAGUCCGCUGUAAAAGUCAAAGGCUCAACCUUUGAAUGUCAGUGGAUACUGCAUGGCUAGAGUCCGGAAGAGGCGAGUGGAAUUCCUGGUGUAGCGGUGGAAUGCGCAGAUAUCAGGAGGAACACCAACGGCGAAGGCAGCUCGCUAGGACGGUACUGACGCUAAGGCGCGAAAGCGUGGGGAGCGAACAGG